ensembl:lncRNA
CGCUUCCACAUAUAUUCAAGAGGGACACAAAAGGCGCCCUCAUCGCGGAAUGUAUUUUAUAAAAUAAACAUUGCGAAUAUAACAAACAUUUUUCUCAUAUACAAUUAUGACGUAUUUUCUUUUCAAACUCAACACUACAGACAGAUCCGAAACUGAAUUACGGCGUCUCUUAGCAACGGCGAUGUCUCCACGGCAACAUUCUAAUCCGCCUGUCGAACAGCUUCAGUAGGGUAAUUCAAGCAACAAAAUACUCGCGCUUCGUCAACAGUAAAAGAUGAAAAGCUUUGCUGUGUUCAAAAUUAAAGCUCGGAUUAUAAAACCAAUGAAGGGGAGCAAAAUAUCGCUGUUUAUGAAUUGUUUUUGAGAAGUGACUCGUGGAGGGGUAACAGACACGACCGCGUGACAGUGAUGCUGUGACUAAAUUCACUAUUAUCUAUCCCUGCAACCUGCAUUGCUGUGCAAAAACCUGUCAAAUAGUGAAUACUUGCACUUACCGGCAGGAUGGACCCCAGUGUGCUCAUAUUCUUACUUUACGUGAUGAUAGCCCACGGGCUGGUGUGUGGACUGAUGCAGUACAGGAGACAAGCAGCCAAACCUCACAAAUGCCUAAUGUGGUGCUCCAGUUCUCGUGUCUGUCAUGGAACGUGGAGAGUCAGUAGCCAGCCGGUGCGGACAGGGAGACGAGACUUGAAGAAAACUGGACGUAUUGUCAGGAAAGCGUGACACAAGGGCUGCUGUGGACAUACGAUCCAUAAACGUGGUUCCUAAUCAUCCUUUCUGCACUGUGAUCAAUCACUGAAGCUAUGCUGGACCGCUCACUAGUUCAUGAUUAUAUAAUCUCAACUGUGUGAUGCUCAUAGUUUACAGUUUUCCUAUUCUCUGUCAUUGUGGACAUCUUUAGAGGUUAAUUUCUAGCUAUAGUUCACCUAGAAAUUGAAAUUCUGUCAUCAUUUACUCACCCUCAUUGUCGUUGCAAACAUGUAUGAGAAAUUUUGAAAAAUUAAUUUACUGUAUUUUUUUCUGCAGUUACAAUGCUUCAAAAUAGACACAAACAGCAAGUGAUCCACAUUUUCUGAAGCCAUAUGAUAGCUGUGCAUGAGGAGCAGACCAUUUUGUUGUGUUCCACAGAGAAAAGAAAGUAAGUCACACACAUUUGGAAUAACAUAAGGGUGAGAAAACAAUGGCAGAAUUUUAAUUUACGAGUGAGCUAAUCUUUGAAGAAUGUUUGUAGAACCGGAUUUUUUAUUAGUGAUUUGAAAGCUGCCAUUUUUACAUAAACUUAAUAUGAGUUGUGGUAGCCAAACGCAAAGUUCAGUCACAAGCAGAGGUGAUUCAAGAUCUCUUGUCACAUUUAUAAUGUAAUAUCACUGUGCACUUGAUUAUGGAAAUUAAUCCCAGAUUGCAGCGUUUAAUCUACAUCACUUUUGAUGAAAAUCAUCUGCUAAAUUUCUGAACAUGAUUUGUAUGUUUCUUGUUCAGUUUGUUGUUUCUGCCCUUAUUACAUUUUGUAAAUGAAUUGCAAAUUCUUGUUUUAGAUGUGACAAGUCAAGUGUACGUGGAAGUUCACACUAAACCUGUGUACCCAACUGUGUAUUGAGAUUCAUUAAAUAUGCAUUUUAGCAUCAGC